CUCUCCUACCCACUUUCUAUUUCUAGACUCCUAAAAAUAAAGGGGUGUGACUGUGGUUUUUUGUUUUGUUCUUAUGAUAAUAAAGGAGUAAACAUUCCCUUCUUUCUUGAAAAAAGAUGGCAGUCCACAAUCAUCACAUGAAUGACCAGCUUCUAUCCACAAUCAGCAAAAACCAAAAACAAACCAAAGCAACUUAUCCUUAAACACUACCAGUACCUAAAUCUAAACCAAAGCAACUUAUCCUUAAACACUACCAGUACCUAAAUCUAAAAACACAAUUACACACAAAGACAUUAGUAUCUACCUUAUCCUAACGAACAACAAUCAACACUCUUAUAUCCCAAAAUCAAAGCUGCUAAUACAUAGAGGAAAAAAGGCAAUCAAUUGCAGUAACACCGAUAGAGAGAACAAGAAAGUGACGACUUCUCUCUCUCGCUCAAAAAACUUCAACAACAAUAUAACCCAUUUCUUUGUUAUUCUCUUUGUCUACAUAUUCUUCAAACAACAACAAAAACAACAAGAUCCAGGAGAGAAGAAAAAGUGAGUUAUCCUUCAAUCUUCUUCUCCAUUUAAAUAUACCACCUUCACCAACAAUACACCUAUACAUGUGCUUAAGCCACAAACAUCAAGAGGUGUAAAUGCUAAUAGGAAGAUCCAGCGGUGCUAGACAUCGUCGUCCAGAGGCGAGGCAAGUUCUUCGCGCUUUGGCAACCUCCUCCGACGGUCCUCCUCACACCGUGCAGUCUCGGUUUUGUGACCAUCCCCAUGGUUGGCGCUUGGUGCCAGCGUCAUUCACGACCUUGCAACCCUACUAUAUUUCCUCGCCACGGCGUGAGCAACUUCCAGUCGUGGAGCAAUGACCAUUUCGCUGGUUGAAGGUGAGAGAAAGAGACCCUCUUAAGUCAUGAAGGAGAAGACCCUCACGGGUCUGGGGCAAGACACUGGUCAUCCUCUUUCUC
rnacentral:lncRNA from 1 species